AACGAACGCUGGCGGCAGGCCUAACACAUGCAAGUCGAACGCUCCGCAAGGGGAGUGGCGCACGGGUGAGUAACACGUGGGAACCUACCUUCUGGUACGGAACAACCAAGGGAAACUUUGGCUAAGACCGUAUACGACCUCCGGGUGAAAGAUUGAUCGCCGGAAGAGGGGCCCGCGUCCGAUUAGGUAGUUGGUGAGGUAACGGCUCACCAAGCCUUCGAUCGGUAGCUGGUCUGAGAGGAUGACCAGCCACACUGGGACUGAGACACGGCCCCAGACUCCUACGGGAGGCAGCAGUGGGGAAUAUUGGACAAUGGGCGCAAGCCUGAUCCAGCCAUGCCGCGUG
rnacentral:rRNA from 1 species